rnacentral:rRNA from 1 species
UGGGGAAUAUUGCACAAUGGGCGCAAGCCUGAUGCAGCCAUGCCGCGUGUAUGAAGAAGGCCUUCGGGUUGUAAAGUACUUUCAGCGGGGAGGAAGGCGUUAAGGUUAAUAACCUUAGUGAUUGACGUUACCCGCAGAAGAAGCACCGGCUAACUCCGUGCCAGCAGCCGCGGUAAUACGGAGGGUGCAAGCGUUAAUCGGAAUUACUGGGCGUAAAGCGCACGCAGGCGGUCUGUCAAGUCGGAUGUGAAAUCCCCGGGCUCAACCUGGGAACUGCACUCGAAACUGGCAGGCUGGAGUCUUGUAGAGGGGGUAGAAUUCCAGGUGUAGCGGUGAAAUUGCGUAGAGAUCUGGAGGAAUACCGGUGGCGAAGGCGGCCCCCUGGACAAAGACUGACGCUCAGGUGCGAAAGCGUGGGAGCAAACA